CGUAUUGGUGAGGUAACGGCUCACCAAGCCUAUAACCGUACGGGCCGUGAGAGCGGUAGCCCGGAGAUGGGUACUGAGCCAAGGACCCAGGCCCUACGGGGCGCAGCAGUCGCGAAAACUCCGCAAUGCACGAAAGUGUGACGGGGCUACCCCGAGUGCCAUCCGCUGAGGAUGGCUUUUCUUUGGUAUAACUAGCCAUGGGAAUAAGGAGAGGCCAAGACUGGUGUCAGCCGCCGCGGUAAUACCAGCUCUCCGAGUGGUAGGGAUGAUUAUUGGGCUUAAAGCGUCCGUAGCCGGCUUAGCAAGUUUCCUGUUAAACCCAGCGACUCAAUCGUUGGAUCGCGAGAAAUACUACUAGGCUAGGAGGCGGGAGAGGUCACCGGUACUUCUGGGGUAGGGGUGAAAUCCUAUAAUCCCGGGAGGCCCACCAGUGGCGAAGGCUGUUGACUAGACCGCGCUCGCCGGUGAGGGACGAAAGCUGGGGGAGCGACCCGGAUUAGAUACCCGGGUAGUCCCAGCUGUAAACGAUGCGAGCUAGGUGUUGGAAUGGCUACGGGCCAUUUCAGUGCCGCAGGGAAGCCAUUAAGCUCGCCGCCUGGGGAGUCCGGCCGCAAGGCUGAAACUUAAAGGAAUUGGCGGGGGAGCACCACAAGGCGUGAAGCUUGCGGUUCAAUUGGAGUCACCGCCGG
rnacentral:rRNA from 1 species